rnacentral:rRNA from 1 species
AUUGAACGCUGGCGGAAUGCUUUACACAUGCAAGUCGAACGGCAGCACGGACUUCGGUCUGGUGGCGAGUGGCGAACGGGUGAGUAAUGUAUCGGAACGUGCCCAGUCGUGGGGGAUAACGUAGUGAAAAUUACGCUAAUACCGCAUACGGUCUAUGGAUGAAAGCGGGGGAUCGCAAGACCUCGCGCGAUUGGAGCGGCCGAUAUCAGAUUAGGUAGUUGGUGGGGUAAAGGCCCACCAAGCCAACGAUCUGUAGCUGGUCUGAGAGGACGACCAGCCACACUGGAACUGAGACACGGUCCAGACUCCUACGGGAGGCAGCAGUGGGGAAUUUUGGACAAUGGGCGAAAGCCUGAUCCAGCCAUUCCGCGUGCAGGAUGAAGGCCCUCGGGUUGUAAACUGCUUUUGUACAGAACGAAAAGGUUUCUACUAAUACUAGGAGCUCAUGACGGUACUGUAAGAAUAAGCACUGGCUAACUACGUGCCAGCCGCCGCAGUAA